rnacentral:rRNA from 1 species
GACGAACGCUGGCGGCGUGCCUAAUACAUGCAAGUAGAACGCAGUUGCGAACGGGUGAGUAACGCGUAGGUAACUGCCUCAUAGCGGGGGAUAAAUAUUGGAAACGAUAGCUAAUACCGCAUACUGUGAGCUGGACCUGCGUUGUAUUAGCUAGUUGGGGGGGGAAAGGCUCACCAAGGCGACGAUACAAAGCCGACCUGAGGGGGGGAUCUGCCCAACGUGGACUGUGGCACAGCCCCACCUCCAACGGGAGGCAGCAGGAGGGAAUCUUCGGCCAUGGGCGGAAGUCUGACCGAGAAACGCCGCGGGAGUGAAGCAGGUUUUCGGAGCGUAAAGCUAUGUUUUUAGAGAAGCGGUAACUAACCAGAAAGGGACGGCUAACUACGUGCCAGCAGCCGCGGUAAUUC